rnacentral:rRNA from 1 species
GCCAGACUCCUACGGGAGGCAGCAGUGGGGGAUAUUGCACAAUGGGGGGAACCCUGAUGCAGCGACGCCGCGUGGGUGAAGGAGCGUUUCGGCGCGUAAAGCCCUAUCGGCAGGGAAGAAGGAGGACGGUACCUGACUAAGAAGCCCCGGCUAACUACGUGCCAGCAGCCGCGGUAAUACGUAGGGGGCAAGCGUUAUCCGGAUUUACUGGGUGUAAAGGGGGCGCAGACGGCAGCGCAAGCCAGGAGUGAAAGCCCGGGGCCCAACCCCGGGACUGCUCUUGGAACUGCGCGGCUGGAGUGCAGGAGGGGCAGGCGGAAUUCCUGGUGUAGCGGUGAAAUGCGUAGAUAUCAGGAGGAACACCGGUGGCGAAGGCGGCCUGCUGGACUGCGACUGACGUUGAGGCCCGAAAGCGUGGGGAGCAAACAGGAUUAGAUACCCUUGUAUU